AAAGAAAAAGAAUGGAAAAAAAGGCCUCACCUUUCAUCUUCUAUCUUGCCCUUCUCAUUGCUUCAUCUUUCGAUUGCGCUUCCUCAUUUUCC
rnacentral:ribozyme from 1 species